AUAUUUCAAAUAAAUAUUCAAACUUUUAUUAAUUUAAUUAUUAAUAUUAUUUAUGAAAAUCACGGAUAUUACACCUUUAAUACGAUAGGACCAAUGCCAACUGAUGAAACAAGAGAAAAAACUAUCAAACCACACUUACGAAUUGGCCUAGCCUAUCAGGUUCUAUAGAUUAUACUGCCAAGGUGCCAAGCUCAAAGCUUAAAGGCAAAGAUCACAUUCCUACUGUCAAGCUAAAGGCGAAAGAAGUGGCUUAGUACCCAACCUCUUCAUAGACACAUGCGAUCCAAGGAUUUAGUUUAAAAUAAAUCUCUCCUUCGAACUUCGGAUUCGUUCAAAGAGAAAGAGUAAUACUUGUUAUUUCUUUCUCUCUCUCACCAUGUGAAAGCUGCUAAUCGAACGUCAACCUUAUUACCGUUCCUGACCCAUAGCCAAUAGGGCACUUAACUCUAUCUAUUUAGUUGAGUUGUCUCCCCUCGGGUGUCAAGGUAGAGUGAUUAGAGCUUACUUCUUUUUAAAGGGAUCCAUGUCAUUUCACUAAAGACCAAAGACCACUUAUUUUCACAUGAAACCAUGAACUUGGUUCAUAGUCGAGUUGAAAAGAGCAAAAGGACUGACCUCUUCCCCUAACCCUCAGCUCACCGUGAACUGUGUGACUUUUUACUUCCUUUAUUUCAAGCGGAAGACUUAGACGACCUUUCGGAUAUGGGAUCUUCUACUUUGAAUACGAUAACGAUACCAUCGAAGGUGCAAAACGGCUUGGUCUGGGAUCGAUCCCAUCUAGCAAAGAAAGCAGUCACGCCAGAGAGAAGAAAGUAAAGCUUGAAAGCUUCCCUUUUUCAAUUCCUUCAACAUUUGCAGAGCUAACCCCUGAAGUAACUGCAGGCCCUUAAGAGUACCCUUUCCUCCGACUGCGCUUAGUUCUUCAAACAUUUGCGCAUCAGAUUCGUUCACAGAUUUCCUCCCCAAUGGUCUAAACCAGGUAUAGUAUGAACUCAUUUAAUCGAGGAUUAAAGCAAGAAUAGCCCUUUUUGUUUUAUACUAUGCUUUGAGUCGCUUCCAGUAAUGGGAGGACUUGUCUUUGGCCUUACUCUAUGAAUAAAGAAAUUCCCCGGUGUUCACUCAAGCUCCUAACUCAUUGACGUUGUAGGCAAAGAGCUAUGUGAAUGCUUUCAUAGGCUAGGGGGGAUAACGAUUAAUUAAGUAACUAAGCCCCAAGGCUAGCGAAGAAAAAGGAAAUAGGGCAACAACUCAUGACUCGAGGGUGAGAAUUGGAAUCGAAUAGAUUGAAUCAGAAAUGAACUUAAGAAGAGGCAGAAUAACCGUUGUUGGAAGAAGGGAUACCAAAAGCUCGUUAUCGUUAGCAAGGCAAGGUUCUGAUCGAGGUUUUAAAGGAUGAAGUCCUUCCGCUGCACAAACAUCGACAAAGAGAGAGUUUAGAGCAAUCAGCCAAUCCAAUCACCAGAAAGAGCGAAAGGGAGAUGGGAAGCUAAAUCAAAUAGAAAAGCACUCAGAAUCCCAAUCCCAACCAACCUAGAUAUCAUACAGUGAACCAGAUGCUUAAUAAUUAUUUCCAAAAUCUCCCAGCCCAGAAGGAAAGAUACGUGGAGCUAGCCUUAUGAAAUUUCAUUUAAUCUUCGAGAGAUGCUUUUCAUAGCCUUAGUUACCAGGAAAGAUCUGAUGUGAACAAAAGAAAGAAUCUCAUGGUGGAAUGCUCAUAAGACAUGUGACCAAGAACGGCUUAAGUUGAAU
rnacentral:lncRNA from 1 species